UACGUAGGGUGCGAGCGUUGUCCGGAUUUAUUGGGCGUAAAGAGCUCGUAGGCGGUUUGUCGCGUCGGCCGUGAAAUCUCCACGCUUAACGUGGAGUGUGCGGUCGAUACGGGCAGACUUGAGUUCGGUAGGGGAGACUGGAAUUCCUGGUGUAGCGGUGAAAUGCGCAGAUAUCAGGAGGAACACCGGUGGCGAAGGCGGGUCUCUGGGCCGAUACUGACGCUGAGGAGCGAAAGCGUGGGUAGCAAACAGG
rnacentral:rRNA from 1 species